rnacentral:rRNA from 1 species
AUUGAACGCUGGCGGCAGGCCUAACACAUGCAAGUCGAACGGUAACAGGAAGCAGCUUGCUGCUUUGCUGACGAGUGGCGGACGGGUGAGUAAUGUCUGGGAAACUGCCCGAUGGAGGGGGAUAACUACUGGAAACGGUAGCUAAUACCGCAUAACGUCGCAAGACCAAAGAGGGGGAACUUCGGGCCUCUUGCCAUCGGAUGUGCCCAGAUGGGAUUAGCUAGUAGGUGGGGUAAAGGCUCACCUAGGCGACGAUCCCUAGCUGGUCUGAGAGGAUGACCAGCCACACUGGAACUGAGGCACGGUCCAGACUCCUACGGGAGGCAGCAGUGGGGAAUAUUGCACAAUGGGCGCAAGCCUGAU